rnacentral:rRNA from 1 species
GGGCGGUCUCCUCCCAAAGAGUAACGGAGGAGCACGAAGGUGGGCUAAUCACGGUUGGACAUCGUGAGGUUAGUGCAAUGGCAUAAGCCCGCUUGACUGCGAGAAUGACAAUUCGAGCAGGUGCGAAAGCAGGUCAUAGUGAUCCGGUGGUUCUGAAUGGAAGGGCCAUCGCUCAACGGAUAAAAGGUACUCCGGGGAUAACAGGCUGAUACCGCCCAAGAGUUCAUAUCGACGGCGGUGUUUGGCACCUCGAUGUCGGCUCAUCACAUCCUGGGGCUGAAGUCGGUCCCAAGGGUAUGGCUGUUCGCCAUUUAAAGUGGUACGCGAGCUGGGUUUAGAACGUCGUGAGACAGUUCGGUCCCUAUCUGCCGUGGGCGUUGGAAGAUUGAAGGGGGCUGCUCCUAGUACGAGAGGACCGGAGUGGACGAACCUCUGGUGUUCGGGUUGUGUCGCCAGACGCAUUGCCCGGUAGCUAAGUUCGGAAUCGAUAACCGCUGAAAGCAUCUAAGCGGGAAGCGAGCCCUGAGAUGAGUCUUCCCUGAUACUUUAAGUAUCCUAAAGGGUUGUCGGAGACUACGACGUUGAUAGGUCAGGUGUGUAAGUGCUGUGAGGCAUUGAGCUAACUGAUACUAAUUGCCCGUGAGGCUUAACCAUACAACACCCAAGGGGUUU